AUACGGAGGGGGCUAGCGUUGUUCGGAAUUACUGGGCGUAAAGCGCACGUAGGCGGCGUGUACAGUUAGGGGUGAAAGGCCUGGGCUCAACCUAGGAACUGCCUCUAAUACUGACAUGCUAGAAUUCGGGAGAGGGUAGCGGAAUUCCAAGUGUAGAGGUGAAAUUCGUAGAUAUUUGGAAGAACACCAGUGGCGAAGGCGGCUACCUGGACCGAUAUUGACGCUGAGGUGCGAAAGCGUGGGGAGCGAACAGGAUUAGAAACCCCGGUAGUCC
rnacentral:rRNA from 1 species